GCGGCCUUCGUCUAGUGGUUAGGACUCCAGGUUUUCAUCCUGGCAACAGGGGUUCGACUCCCCUAGGCCGUACCA
rnacentral:tRNA from 2 species